UACCAGCACCCCGAGUGGUCGGGACGAUUAUUGGGCUUAAAGCAUCCGUAGCCGGUUCUGCAAGUCCCCCGUUAAAUCCAGCUGCUCAACAGAUGGGCCGCGGAGGAUACUACAGAGCUAGGAGGCAGGAGAGGCAAGCGGUACUCAGUGGGUAGGGGUAAAAUCCGUUGAUCCAUUGAAGACCACCAGUGGCGAAGACGGCUUGCCAGAAUGCGCUCGACGGUGAGGGAUGAAAGCUGGGGGAGCAAACCGG
rnacentral:rRNA from 1 species